GGUGGCUCAUUGGUAGAGCACUUGCCUUGCAUGCAUGAGGCGCUGGGUUCAAUUCCUCAGCACCA
rnacentral:tRNA from 1 species